AUCACACGGGAAUCUUGCUAAAAUGCAGAUUCUGAUUCAGCAGGACUGGGGUGGGGUCUGAGAUUCUGCAUUUCCAGCAGCUCCCAAGUGAUGCUAA
rnacentral:pre_miRNA from 1 species